rnacentral:tRNA from 1 species
GCUGGAUUGACGUAGUGGUAGCGUGCGACCUUUGUACCGUCGAUGCGGCAGUUUGAUUCUGCCAUUCAGCA